rnacentral:tRNA from 1 species
GCGCCCGUAGCUCAAUUGGAUAGAGCAUCUGACUUCGGAUCAGAGGGUUAGGGGUUCGAGUCCCUUCGGGCGUACGA